GGUUCGAACCUGCAGGGUCACACACAUUAGAGGUUCCUAUCUGAUCUGAUGGCUAAUGAAAAGUCCUAAUGCUCGUGGACUAUGAGUCCUACAUGUCUGGGACUCUGUGAUCGAGAAUCAAGAUUCUCUGAUCAUGAGUCCUACAUAUUUUGGGUACUGGGGUCAAGAGUCCCACUGGUUUGGGACUCUUCGAUCAGGGUUACAUAUCGAUGAAUUCUGAUGCCCGAUUACCCAUCAGAUUUAGACUCAAUAUUUAUGAGAGGUUUAAUUAGUGAUUUGAUCACUAAUUAACUCAAUUUGAUUGAGUAAUUAUUUUUGGAUCAAGUCCAAUUGAAUUGGAUUCAGUUGGGUUUGACCCGAUUAGGUUAAGAGUUGACCUAAUCGUCGAAAUGGUUUGGUCCCUGAUUUGAUUAGGGGUUGGGCUUAAUCAAUUUCUAAUUUGAUUAAGAUUUUAUUGAGCUUACUUAAGUCUAAUUUAGUUGGGUUUAAAUGAGUCUAAUUGGGCCUAACUUAUUUGGUUCAAUUAGGUUGGUUUAAAUAAUGAAACCACCUUGACCAAUUCUCCCUGUGCCACCUCACUUCCACUGCGCCCAUUUGAAUUCACGAGAAGGAAGUUCUCAUGAAUUUUUUCUCAUGCAAAGCCCUCCUCACGCCCUACUUUAAUGCACCAAAUGAGUGGAUAAGGAUGAUUGGUUGGCCAUUCAAAUUCAAAACAAAGUUUGAAUUUGAAUGAGCAACCAAUCUUAGCGCCUUGACCUUAUCCUCUAUUAAUGCCCCAUUUAUUACAUGAGAAAAUAUUU
rnacentral:lncRNA from 1 species